rnacentral:rRNA from 1 species
GUGGGGAAUAUUGCACAAUGGGGGAAACCCUGAUGCAGCGACGCCGCGUGAAGGAUGACGGUUUUCGGAUUGUAAACUUCUAUCAGCAAGGAAGAUAAUGACGGUACUUGACUAAGAAGCCCCGGCUAACUACGUGCCAGCAGCCGCGGUAAUACGUAGGGGGCAAGCGUUAUUCGGAUUUACUGGGUGUAAAGGGAGUGUAGGUGGUAAGGUAAGUCAGAUGUGAAAGCCCAGGGCUCCACCCUGGGACUGCAUUUGAAACUAUCUUACUAGAGUGCAGGAGAUGUAAGUGGAAUUCCUAGUGUAGCGGUGAAAUGCGUAGAUAUUAGGAGGAACACCAGUGGCGAAGGCGGCUUACUGGACUGUAACUGACACUGAGGCUCGAAAGCGUGGGGAGCAAACAGGAUUAGAUACCCGGGUAGUCC